rnacentral:rRNA from 1 species
CUUGGUCAUUUAGAGGAAGUAAAAGUCGUAACAAGGUCUCCGUUGGUGAACCAGCGGAGGGAUCAUUACAGAGUUGCAAAACUCCCCAAACCAUUUGUGAACCUACCCCUAAAACAGUUGCUUCGGCGGCGCCCUGACCGGCCCGCCGGGGACCACCAAACGCUUUGUUUUUAUGCACUGGCCUCUCUGAGUUAUUGUACUGUAAUAAGUCAAAACUUUCAACAACGGAUCUCUUGGCUCUGGCAUCGAUGAAGAACGCAGCGAAAUGCGAUAAGUAAUGUGAAUUGCAGAAUUCAGUGAACCAUCGAAUCUUUGAACGCACAUUGCGCCCGCCAGUAUUCUGGCGGGCAUGCCUGUUCGAGCGUCAUUUCAACCAUCAAGCCCCCGGCUUGUGUUGGGGACCUGCGGCUGCCGCAGGCCCUGAAAUCCAGUGGCGGGCUCGCCGUGGCACCGAGCGCAGUAGCACACUUCUCGCUCCGGUAGCGCGGCGGGCGCCUGCCGUGAAAACCCCCACGUCUCAAGGUUGACCUCGGAUCAGGUAGGAAUACCCGCUGAACUUAAGCAUAUCAAUAAGCGGAGAA